rnacentral:sRNA from 1 species
GGGAGUGGGGAUUAAGAGGGGUUUCAGAGCUAUGCUGGAAACAGCAUAGCAAGUUGAAAUAAGGCUAGUCCGUUAUCAACUUGAAAAAGUGGCACCGAGUCGGUGCUUUUUUU